GGGGGGGGCGGGGGGGGGGGGGGGGGGGGGGAGGGGGGGCGGGGGGGCCGCGUUGGGGGUGCUCGAGUGGCGGACGGGUGGGUGCCGCGUGAGUGACCGGCCCUUGCCUUCGGGGUAACUUCAGGACACUGGUGCUACUACCGGAUAGGGAUCCUUGCUGCGUAGUGUGGGUUGGACAGCUUCGGCGGUUUUGGCUUGACUCGCGGCUUAUCAGCGUGUUGGUGGGGUAGUGGCUUACCAAGGCUGUGACGGGUAGCCGGCUUGAGAGGGCGACCGGACACAUUGGGACUGAGAUCCGGCCCAGACUCCUACGGGUGGAAGCAGUGGAGAAGAUUGCACAAUGGGCGGAAGCCUGAUGCAGCAACGCCGCGUGAGGGAUGACGGCCUUCGGGUUGGAAACCGCUUGCAGCAGGGGCGAAGCUUGUGGUGACGGUACCUGCAGAAGAAGCACCGGCUAACUACGUG
rnacentral:rRNA from 1 species